UACAGAGGGUGCGAGCGUUAAUCGGAAUUACUGGGCGUAAAGCGUGCGUAGACGGUUAUGUAAGUCAGAUGUGAAAGCCCCGGGCUCAACCUGGGAAUUGCAUUUGAGACUGCAUAGCUAGGGUGCGGAAGAGGCGAGUGGAAUUCCUGGUGUAGCGGUGAAAUGCGCAGAUAUCAGGAGGAACACCAAUGGCGAAGGCAGCUCGCUGGGACGGUACUGACGCUGAGGCGCGAAAGCGUGGGGAGCAAACAGG
rnacentral:rRNA from 1 species